rnacentral:rRNA from 1 species
UACAGAGGUCUCAAGCGUUGUUCGGAUUCAUUGGGCGUAAAGGGUGCGUAGGUGGCGGGGUAAGUCUGGUGUGAAAUCUCGGGGCUCAACUCCGAAACUGCACUGGAUACUGCCUUGCUCGAGUACUGGAGAGGAGAUUGGAAUUUACGGUGUAGCAGUGAAAUGCGUAGAUAUCGUAAGGAAGACCAGUGGCGAAGGCGAAUCUCUGGACAGUUACUGACACUGAGGCACGAAGGCCAGGGGAGCAAACGGG